ACCCUCAGGCUCUCAGCAUUCUGUUCCCUUGGUCACUAGGCCAAGCCUUGCUUUGUGUACUACACAGCACGCGCUGAGGAGGCACCCACUGAGGCAUAUGCGGCUUGUUCAUUGGCCGCCCCCUUCCCCUCCCAGUUGCUGGGGAGAAGGCACGGAGGAGUGAAGGGCCUGCCUUGCCCACCUCUCCAGGUCUCCUUACUCUCCAGGUCUCCAGGAGACAGAGUCUGCAGGUUGCCUGGGAGGUCCUAGGAGCAGAUAUGUAUUAUUUUGUGGCAACAAGCAAAUUUCCUGGAGGGGGUUUUUGGAAGAACUGGGAGUGGCCCAGAGGGAAGCAAAGGGAAACAGGGGAGCAGAGGCUAUGAGGAAAGAGACUGAGCCAGAGGCUGCGGGCGGUGGAGGAAACCUGGUCUUGGCCUGAGGCCUCUGAGCUGAGAGCUGCCCUCCCUUCCCUCCCGAAGGAUACCCGGGUGGGUGACAUCGAAGCCCUCAGCCCAUCCACAGGGCUGCUCUGGGAAGCAGGGCCUGAGCAGGCCCAGGCUCAGCCUCUGCGCCUGUGCUGACCUGUUGGAAAGCUUACCCAAUUUAGGCCUUGUGUCAGCAGCAGGAGGGGUGGUAUAAGGAGGGGCCAGUCAGACUGCACAGUAAGCUGGAAAAUUCCCACAGUGAUUCUGCACUGGGGGCUGCACCCUAGGUGGGAGCCCUCAGCCCCAGGUUCUGUCUGACCUUGACUGCAUGUGGAAGGGGGCUUCUGGAACUCUGAGGUUUGCAGGGCAGGGGUGGGGGCAACAGGUGCUGAACAGCUUCAAGGGGAGAGAACUAGAGACCUGGCCUUUGACCCUUCACUUUGUUGUUUUGUCUCUGGUACUGGCCUGACUAUGGGCUUACUGGAUGUGUGUGUUGGGUGGGGAUAGAGAGGCUAUUAGGAAAUAAGGGAAGACAGACCUGUUUUUCACAUAAAGAAGGUCUAACAACCCUCCAAAAGAGGCUGAAAAUCUGAAAAGAUUGGGCCAGAUGGAUUGAAAGAAAUCAAGCUGCUUCCACAGGCAUCUCAAGACUUUAAUAAAAUUUAAAUGACUAUUAAAGCUGAGACAUAGAAAUUCUAAGGUUCAAGCAAUAGCAAUUAUUUUUAGUACAUUGCUGGGCCUGGGGCCUUGGGAAUGAACCCUGUGGGCCCUGUUCUUAGAGAGUCUCUCGUUCAGUCCUUUGGUAAGGCCCUGCCAGCAGGAAAGUUGCUCAAUGCAGUGCAAAACAAGAUAGAAAGUCUCCUGACCAAUGUUCUUCUCCUUUUUUCCCAGGAAGUCUGGCUACAGCAGGUGUUUUCUGUUUGUCGGUCUCCAGAACAGGAGCCUCACGCUCUCUGUGCCCCAGGAGGGUGAGAAGGAUCCAGGUGCCAAGAGGAGUGUCCUCUGGACACUUGGCUGGAUGCCCCGCAGCCCAGUGCCAGGCCCAGAAGGCCUCUCACCCCUGUUGGGCCCAGCCCAGGGGAGGAAGGAAGGAAGCCAUGCAAGAUAGGGUUUCCCCAACCCAAGACUUGGAAUCCUCCUGGCUCCAGUCCUCUGAUAAGUAAGCUGGUUUGUUAGCUGACCACUGAAGUUUACAAAAUCUGUUCUGGGCAAGUGGGCUUCAAGAGGCCAGAACUCUCAACGAGGACAGGAAGAAAAGUUGGAAGAGUUCUGGAUGCUCUGUAGGGGCUGACUCGCUUCAGGACCUCCUGGCACAGCCCAAAGCUACAGAGAGGAGCUUGGCAGGAAAGUAGGAGUUUCAUUUCAGGCCUCCCCGCCCGUUUCUUCUGUGCUUUUCUGCCUCUCCCUCUCCAGCUGGCCUGGCUCACACACUCCCUGGGUGAGGCACCCUGAGGCCUCCCGCCAUCUACUCUGCCCCCUUGAGGUCCAGUUUAAAAUGGAACAAAUGCAGGGCUGGCCCUUUGAUGCUGGAUAUAUAGCUAUUGGGAGCCAUUGACCAUGGCCUUGAGCAGGAUUCUCCCCACUCCGAGCUCUGCCAUGUUGCCUUGUCCAAGUGGCUGGACAGGGGUUCAUGUGUCUAUUUAUUCCCCUCACUGGAAGUCCACAGCUCCCCUGGCUCCUCUGUGUAAGGGAGGCCCAGCGCUGGGGUUUUUGAGAAAUGUGAAGUCAGAGCUGUGAGCACCUGCCGCCCUUCCUGCUUUAGAAGAAAUGGUAUAAUACCCUGUUUUACAAUGGUGUUUUGUUUUUUAAGUACACUUCACAGGGAAAAGAAAAGAAACAAAAAACCCAGAAGGGUUGUCCAUGUAGUUUUUGACAGGAAGGGGGCAUAUCACGCAUACUACAAAUGAGAGUUGUUCAAGGCUUCCUCUCACCAAUCACAGGCAGGUCUCCGCCAGUCCCUGGGGGUGCCUUCAACAGAGCCCACUUGGAAGGAGGCGAGAGGCUGCUUUUGCAUAAGAUGGCUUCCUGCCUGGCCCACUUCUGUGAUCCACACUGCUGGGUGCAGGCAGGAUGCGAAGCUACCACGACAUCUCCAACAUGGCUCACUUGGAGGAGAGUCUCUGCAAGGAAUACCCUUAGCCCUUGGCUGCCAUUGUCAUCACUGUACCCCCCAGGCCCUAAGGAUAAAAGGCGAUGCAGUGGGAUUGGGGGACGUCUAGCUCAUUUGGCAUAACACAGUUUAUAAAGAAAAUGUUCUACAUCCUACUUUGGGUCACUAUGAGCCGGAACUGACUCGAUGGCACCAAACAACAACAACGUUUGCAUACAGCUUCAGAGUUCUAGAGACCUCUAUAGUUCAUUCCAGAAAUGCCCCACAGGAGGUUGGGGCAUUUACCCACCAGCUCCAGCUGGCAUUAUUUCCCCUGCACUUCAAGUUGUGUUUGGCUUGCACAGACUAAGCAGGCUUUUGUGGCUUCAAAGAAGGCCUGAG